rnacentral:rRNA from 1 species
CGCUUGCACCGGAAAAACUUAGCGGCGAACGGGUGAGUAACACGUAAAGAACCUGCCUCAUAGACUGGGACAACUAUUGGAAACGAUAGCUAAUACCGGAUAACAGCAUUAACUGCAUGGUUGAUGUUUAAAAGUUGGUUUUGCUAACACUAUGAGAUGGCUUUGCGGUGCAUUAGCUAGUUGGUGGGGUAAAGGCCUACCAAGGCGACGAUGCAUAGCCGACCUGAGAGGGUGAUCGGCCACACUGGGACUGAGACACGGCCCAGACUCC